CCUACGGGAGGCAGCAGUGAGGAAUAUUGGUCAAUGGACGAGAGUCUGAACCAGCCAAGUAGCGUGCAGGAUGACUGCCCUAUGGGUUGUAAACUUCUUUUAUAAAGGAAUAAAACGAGGCACGUGUGCCUUGUUGCAUGUACUUUAUGAAUAAGGAUCGGCUAACUCCGUGCCAGCAGCCGCGGUAAUACGGAGGAUCCGAGCGUUAUCCGGAUUUAUUGGGUUUAAAGGGAGCGUAGAUGGGUUGUUAAGUCAGUUGUGAAAGUUUGUGGCUCAACCGUAAAAUUGCAAUUGAUACUGGCAGUCUUGAGUACAGUUGAGGUAGGCGGAAUUCGUGGUGUAGCGGUGAAAUGCUUAGAUAUCACGAAGAACCCCGAUUGCGAAGGCAGCUUACUAAACUGUGACUGACAUUGAUGCUCGAAAGUGUGGGUAUCAAACAGGAUUAGAUACCCCAGUAGUC
rnacentral:rRNA from 1 species